rnacentral:rRNA from 1 species
CACCGGCAGCCCAAGUGGUGGCCACUUUUACUGGGUCUAAAGCGUUCGUAGCCGGCUAAGUAAGUUCCUUGGGAAAUUUGAUCGCUUAACGAUUAAGCUUUCAGGGAAUACUGUUUGGCUUGGGACCGGGAGAGGUCAGAGGUACCUCAAGGGGUAGGGGUGAAAUCCGUUAAUCCUUGGGGGACCGCCAGUAGCGAAGGCGUCUGACCAGACCGGAUCCGACGGUGAGGGACGAAGGCUAAGGGUAGCGAAACCGGACUAGAUACCCGGGUAGUCCUAGCUGUAAACGAUGCGGGCUAGGUGUUGGCAUUACUGCGAGUGAUGCCAGUGCCGAAGGGAAGCCGUUAAGCCCGCCAUCUGGGGAGUACGGUCGCAAGGCUGAAACUUAAAGGAAUUGGCGGGGAGCACUACAACGGGUGGAGCCUGCGGUUC